CGCAUGAUACGGACCUCCCCUGCCCAGCCCGGGCUGGGUGGGGGAGGGGAGCCAUGCGGCCUGCAGAGGUAGGCUAGAAGGUGCGGAAUUCCCUGGAGGACUCGUCCUUCUUUGGUUCCGGUCAUCGCAAGACACAGACCUCCCCCCCCAGCCUGGGCUGGGUGGGGGAGGGGAGCCAUGUGGCCUGCAGAGAUAGAAGUCUCCUAUACACUCCUUGAAACAUAUAGGGGAUCUUGUCCUGCAAGGUCAGGCGUGACUCUGUGGAUACUUUACCUGGGAACUGAGAGAAAAGAUUCUAUGUGCACUCCAUCAUCAAUUAGGUGGUACUACUGAUGACUGAGCCAGCAAUCCGGACCAGGGAAAGAUGGGGUAUCCGUGCCAGCAGAAUCAUAGGACCUGUGGAAGAACCUAAAGAGUGGACUAUAACAUCUAAACCAUGUGGUAACAAAUUGAUUCUUAAGUGGGGACCGGGUGGUAAUGAACUGGGAAGACCCAAAUGAUCCAAGGAAUCUACUAAGAAUUACACCUAAUUGGGAAAUAAGGUCAAGCUUAUAUCAGUGGUUUCAAGUACCGCCUGGACAAGUUCUGAGACACCUCCAACACCCCCCCAGGGUGGAAUACUUCCACUUCAAACAGGAAGAUCAGGACUGUUUCAGACAGAGAGUUUGCGUAUUCUGGCCUUAGCCUGUGACUUAUACAAAGAAGAGGAGGAAUUACAAUUUCCAUCAGUGCCAUAUCGUAUACCCUGCUUGAUUCAUCCCAAUACCUCACAUGCUAGCUGGGUUAAAUGCAAAUGUUUAAAUUGUGGGAAAAAUUGGUAUUGUAGUUCACAAAAUCAUCACUCUCCUUGCAGGAAGUGUCGAGUGCCAAAUCUAUCCUCUAUCCAGAUUGAACUCAAAACAACUGAAAUAAUAACUGGUUUGUGUAUGGGAAUUAUUAGUGCCUGUUGAAUGGGAGAUAUCUGAGGAACAGUGGGAAACUACAGUUAAGGAGUGUCAAAAACGAUUUGCCUUGACAUUAGCAAAAAGGAAGUGACAAGGAAAGAAAAGGGCAAGACUGGAUUGGCUGCUGUACUUGCCACCAAAGAUCAUAUACACCUGCUAUGCAUUGCUGUCACUGUUGAGUUAGGAAUGACAAGGAAAAGACAACAGACUCCAGUGCUUCUUAGAAGGCAUGAAGCAAGGUUUAUUAAAAACUACACAUAUUUAUAGAUAGGAUCAUUCACCCAGAACCUGACUGGUCCUUAACACCCCUCAAACCAUUGGUUAAUACAGAACAACACCCUCUUGCAAAUAUCUUUCCAUAAACAUCACGUACAAACAUUCCACAUGUUCACAAACACCAGGUGCAGAGAUUAAGAAAAUAUUUGUUUUAAUUCUUUCUCUGAGCUUUCUCACAACUUCCCCAGGGUGAUGCCUGGGAAAGUUACCUGUUUCUCUGACUAAACUGCCAGCAUCCACAGGUUGCAACCCCAUAGGUAUGGGAGGUGGGGAUAUAAGCCAUACCAGACCUCUGUUAUUCCUUUUUCUGUCACUCAUCAGUUGUCUUUUCCCUUUUGGGAAACCGGCAAAGUCACGUCACAGAUGUUAACAAAAGUUGUAUAUGGAAAGACAGUGAGCUUCCUUUAUUACUCACACCCAUGUCAGCAGUCACUCUUAUAACCCAUCCAAAUUAGGGAAUUUUAUACAAAAUGGGAAAAAAUACUGGAUUGUGGAAAAUUUAGGAACAAGCGGUAACAGGUUGGGAAGUAAAUGUCCUAAAGGAGAGAGAUGGAUUUGUUUCACUUUUGUCACAGGGAGUAAAGUCCAAGAUUUGGUUAAAGAGCAACUGGCAAGCAUAAAGGCAAAACCAGUAGAGCAAUCAAAAUCUGUGCCAAUUUCACUUCCAGAUUUAUAUAAAAAACUUGAGCAUCAAUUAGAACAAGAAAUAGAUAUCUCAAGACUGGGAAAAAAAAAUCUGUUUGUGGAAUUAGGGGAAAGAAUAAGUAAGGAACUUAACCAACUGUUGGGUCUGUGGAGGAGCUUUGAUGUCAGAGGAAUGGCCAUGGAAAGGUAGCACCUUAGGCCCGGUUGAACUCCUUAAGUGCAACCAGACAAAUACAAAGGGGGUAAAAUGGACCAGAAGGGUGGAUUUUAAGUUCAACAGUGACAGGGGAAGAAAGUCUCUGGUGCAGUGGGAAAAAUUUUCUUAAUGAAGUUGGAAAUACUCCCUGUAAGAGAUAUAAAGUUAGCAAUGGAACUUUUACGUGGUGGAUCCCAGAGGAACCAACUCAGUAUUGGUCUCGAGGAAAAAUGAAAAAGACAAAUUGUAAAUAUAAUAACAUUUUCAAUGUAAUGAUACAGGCAAAAAUCCUUAUGGGAUUCCAGAAAUAUCCAAAUUUUGGGAGAAUAUAAAUCAACAGAAAAAUUAUUAUUGGAAGGCACCAGAUGGCUUAUUUUGUAUAUGUAAAAAGAGAGCAUACCCAAGACUCCCCUCUAGUUGGAAAGGGAAUUGCACUUUGGGAAUUAUACAGCCAGGAUUCUUUCUUCUACCAGGACCAAAUGGAGAUCAGUUAGGAGUACCAGUUUAUGGGGACCUGAAAAUAAAUAAAAGGUGUCGAGAGUUUAGCUAAAGAAUAGCUGCGCAGCAAGGGACACGAAAAAGUUAAGUUGAUGAGAGUGUGAGAAUACGUGACUUGUAGCAUGAAAACUAUGCCCUUGAGAAACAGAUGUCUCCUAACAACCUUGAGAAACAGAUAUCUCCUAACAACCUUGAGCAUACAGGUGUCUCGUUA